GAUGGUGUCUCACAUCAGAUUCCGAAACUGAAACCUCUGGAUAAACCGCUAUGGAGGCAGAGGAGGAGACCUCACCCCAGCACAUUACUUGUUAAAAAUGGGACUUCUCACAGAUUUAUACGUUAUACAUUUGAUGAAGAUGCAAAAACUCUUGUUACUCUUGCUUUCAGAAGUGAAUCUCAAUUUCAGGAAUUUUUAUCAAUCUUGCAAUCUUUUGGCAGUGCCAUAGGUGGUUUAGGCAUACUACCUAAAUGUGUAUAAUCAGGUAUUGUGCGUCGGUGAAUCCCAGACGCAGGGCAGGAACACGGGUGGAUCAUACCAGUGACUCUGUAUCUCUGUCACAUUAAUCAUCAUCAUUUCUUCUAAUGAAUUAUGUGAUGUAGAGGAAUUAGAUCUUCUGAUUUGAUGGUGUGAU